UGCCUUUAUGUGUUGCCCUAUCAUUAACUUUUGUAGUGAUGGGGGUGUCAAAUAAGGCAUAGAAAAACUCUUGUGGUCGCCAUUGAAUUGAGUUUGAAAUGACUGUUUUUCAUGUGCAACCACAAGCACACUC